AGAACGAAUUCACGCAUAUCAGAGCCUUCCGUUCUUGACCCUGUUAUUUCAGCAGCUACAGCUUGUUUCCAAGUUGCAGAAAGUUCUCUUGCUAAAACAAGUGUUACAUGAUUACUUUCACCGCUUGCAGUUGAAGGUACUCCAAUAGUAUGUGAAUUUGAUGAACUACUCACUUCAAGAAGAGUGGAUCUAAAAAAUAAAAAAUAAAUUUAAUAAAAUUCAUAUUUUAUAGAACAAAAUUAUUUAAAGUAUUAAAUUAGUACUACCGAUGAAAACGAUAAAAAAUACAAAAGUAGAUAUGAACUUUUAGAAGUAAC